rfam:Drosophila ficusphila unplaced genomic scaffold scf7180000454077, whole genome shotgun sequence
AAUUAGUCCAAUCUAAUGCUGCAUCAUGUUCUAUUUAUGUAGUGUCGCUUUUGGACAAAAUUAAUCUCCAAAUCUCUUAUUAUCCUUGUGCUGGUGGCCACAUAACUCUGCUCUAUGCACACGAGAAACGUAAAAGAACAUUU